rnacentral:rRNA from 1 species
CCCUUAGAUGUUCUGGGCCGCACGCGCGCUACACUGAUGCAUUCAACGAGUCUAAAACCUGCUCUGAUAGGGGUGGGUAAUCUUUUGAAUGUGCAUCGUGAUUGGGAUAGAUGAUUGCAAUUUUUCAUCUUCAACGAGGAAUGCCUAGUAAACGCAAGUCAUCAGCUUGCAUUGAUUACGUCCCUGCCCUUUGUACACACCGCCCGUCGCUCCUACCGAUUGAAUGAUCCGGUGAAUAAUUCGGACUGCAGCACUGCUUGGUCUCCAGGCUUUGCAGCGGAAAGUUUAGUGAACCUUAUCACUUAGAGGAAGGAGAAGUCGUAACA